GUGCCAGCCGCCGCGGUAAUACCGGCAGCUCAAGUGAUGACCGAUUUUAUUGGGCCUAAAGCGUCCGUAGCUGGCCGCGCAAGUCUGUCGGGAAAUCCACCCGCUUAACGGGUGGGCGUCCGGCGGAAACUGUGCGGCUUGGGACAGGAAGGCUCGAGGGGUACGUUCGGGGUAGGAGUGAAAUCCUGUAAUCCUGGACGGACCGCCGAUGGCGAAAGCACGUCGCGAGGACGGAUCCGACAGUGAGGGACGAAAGCCAGGGUCUCGAACCGGAUUAGAAACCCCAGUAGUCC
rnacentral:rRNA from 1 species